UACGUAGGUCCCGAGCGUUGUCCGGAUUUAUUGGGCGUAAAGCGAGCGCAGGUGGUUUAUUAAGUCUGGUGUAAAAGGCAGUGGCUCAACCAUUGUAUGUAUUGGAAACUGGUAGACUUGAGUGCAGGAGAGGAGAGUGGAAUUCCAUGUGUAGCGGUGAAAUGCGUAGAUAUAUGGAGGAACACCGGUGGCGAAAGCGGCUCUCUGGCCUGUAAUUGACACUGAGGCUCGAAAGCGUGGGGAGCAAACAGG
rnacentral:rRNA from 1 species